CAGUCGCCGCGGGAAUACGAAGGGGGCUAGCGUUGCUCGGAAUGACUGGGCGUAAAGGGCGCGUAGGCGGCGGCCAAAGUCAGGCGUGAAAUUCCUGGGCUCAACCUGGGGGCUGCGUUUGAUACUUGGUUGCUUGAGUGGGGAAGAGGGUCGUGGAAUUCCCAGUGUAGAGGUGAAAUUCGUAGAUAUUGGGAAGAACACCGGUGGCGAAGGCGGCGACCUGGUCCUUUACUGACGCUGAGGCGCGAAAGCGUGGGGAGCAAACAGGAUUAGAUACCCGAGUAGUCCCUGUCUCUUAUAU
rnacentral:rRNA from 1 species